rnacentral:rRNA from 1 species
AGAGUUUGAUCCUGGCUCAGAUUGAACGCUGGCGGAAUGCUUUACACAUGCAAGUCGAACGGCAGCACGGGGGGCAACCCUGGUGGCGAGUGGCGAACGGGUGAGUAAUACAUCGGAACGUGCCCAGUCGUGGGGGAUAACGUAGCGAAAGCUACGCUAAUACCGCAUGAGAUCCAAGGAUGAAAGCGGGGGAUCGCAAGACCUCGCGCGAUUGGAGCGGCCGAUGGCAGAUUAGGUAGUUGGUGGGGUAAAGGCCUACCAAGCCUGCGAUCUGUAGCUGGUCUGAGAGGACGACCAGCCACACUGGGACUGAGACACGGCCCAGACUCCUACGGGAGGCAGCAGUGGGGAAUUUUGGACAAUGGGCGCAAGCCUGAUCCAGCCAUUCCGCGUGCAGGAUGAAGGCCUUCGGGUUGUAAACUGCUUUUGUACGGAACGAAACGGUCCUGGUUAAUACCUGGGGCUAAUGACGGUACCGUAAGAAUAAGCACCGGCUAACUACGUGCCAGCAGCCGCGGUAAUACGUAGGGUGCAAGCGUUAAUCGGAAUUACUGGGCGUAAAGCGUGCGCAGGCGGUGAUGUAAGACAGAUGUGAAAUCCCCGGGCUCAACCUGGGAACUGCAUUUGUGACUGCAUUGCUGGAGUGCGGCAGAGGGGGAUGGAAUUCCGCGUGUAGCAGUGAAAUGCGUAGAUAUGCGGAGGAACACCGAUGGCGAAGGCAAUCCCCUGGGCCUGCACUGACGCUCAUGCACGAAAGCGUGGGGGAGCAAACAGGAUUAGAUACCCUGGUAGUCCACGCCCUAAACGAUGUCAACUGGUUGUUGGGGAUUAACUUCCUCAGUAACGAAGCUAACGCGUGAAGUUGACCGCCUGGGGAGUACGGCCGCAAGGUUGAAUCGUCGACCUGCAGGCAUGCAAGCUUGGCACUGGGCCGUCGUUUUACAACGUCGUGACUGGGAAAACCCUGGCGUUACCCAACUUAAUCGCCUUGCAGCACAU